GGGGGCGAUCUGUCCAGUUGAUACAGGAAACCUCUAUUUAAGGUAACCAAGAAGGAGUCAGGCAGGAAGUAAGUCUCUAACUCCUUUGGAGCAGCUUACUUCAUGGUGGUUUAGGCCUUUCUACCCUGGUUGAGGAACUUAAUAGUUCUAGACUCAAUCAGGGUUUGUGUUUGGAGCAUGCUGGAUUUAAUACUGGCUUAAACAUCUGAGAAGUGUGAAAGAAGAAGUUGAGUUACAUCAUUUGCUAAACAACCACAAUGUUGGACUUCAAAGUUCGAUACGGACAUUCUUUCUGUCUGAAUGGUUGUCGUGAAACAUCGGAAUAUUCUGUAAAACACCCUGAGUUCCUAGUCUAAUUGCUUCUUCUCAUGGACCUACUUCACCAAGCCCUACACCCUACCCCUGGUUGGAGUCUCGUCACCUGGUGUGCACUCUGGGUUAGAUUUAGUGUCCGAGAGUGUGUGUAACAGAGGGUAAAAAUAUUAAAUGAUGCAUAAAUGGGGACAGCGCCGACCGCCCACAGCAGAGGUAACCAUGCUGUGGCAUGCAGACCACCAAUGCAAGACUGUCACAUUGGUGACAUGACUUUGUGAUGACUCUGUGUUGCUGUGGGUCGCAUCUUCAAGAAAGUUACUAGAGAUCGCUGUGUUCCUGCAUACUAAAGGCAUCCAUCUUCAGUUGAUCAGCUUAUCAUCUGUCACAACCUUUCAUCGAGGGACUCUGUUUUAUCUCUAUUCAUUUUAUGGAACUUUUUGCUCUCAUUAUUAAAAUUAAUUUGUAUAGUGUA